CCCUUAGAUGUCCUGGGCCGCACGCGCGCUACACUGACAUGUUCAACAAGUUUCUCCUAGUUCGACAGGACUGGGAAAUCUUUGAACGCAUGUCGUGAUAGGGAUAGAUCAUUGCAAUUAUUGAUCUUGAACGAGGAAUUCCUAGUAAACGCGAGUCAUCUGCUCGCAUUGAUUACGUCCCUGCCCUUUGUACACACCGCCCGUCGCACCUACCGAUUGAAUGUUUCGGUGAAGAUUCCGGAUAGGACUGAUUUGAUUUAUUUCAUUUCUGACCUAAAAGCUAUCUAAACCUCAACAUUUAGAGGAAGGUGAAGUCGUAACA
rnacentral:rRNA from 1 species